UACGAAGGGGGCUAGCGUUGCUCGGAUUGACUGGGCGUAAAGCGCACGCAGGUGGUCGUGCAAGUGUCGUGUGAAAGCAGCUCGCUUAACGAGCUGAGGCAUGGCAGACUGCACAACUCGAGCCCGUGAGAGGUCGGUGGAAUUGCCGGUGUAGUGGUGAAAUGCGUAGAGAUCGGCAGGAACACCCAAGGGGAAGCCAGCGGACUGGCACGGUGCUGACACUGAGGUGCGACAGCGUGGGGAGCAAACGGG
rnacentral:rRNA from 1 species